rnacentral:sRNA from 1 species
CAUAUGCCCCGCUAGCCUUCCACGCGCUCAAAAUCAGCUCAACGAUAUGCUCAACCCCUCGCCCACUCUUCACCUCUGCGAAAACCGUUGGCCCGUCUUCUCUCAUCUUCGCUGCAUCUCUCUCCAUAACAGAUAAAUCCGCCCCGACUGCAUCUGCCAGAUCAAUCUUAUUCACGACCAACAAAUCACUGCCAGUAAUGCCAGGGCCUCCCUUUCUGGGAAUCUUGUCCCCACCAGCUACGUCGAUGACGUAGAUGAUGAAAUCGGCUAGUUCACGCGAGUAGUUGGCUGCUAGGUUGUCGCCCCCGGAUUCUAUCAGGAGGAGGUCGCUUUGGAAUUGUCGCUGGAGCGAUUGCAAGGCCAGUAAAUUUGCACUGAUAUCUUCACGAACGGCGGCGUGUGGGCAACCGCCGGUCUCGAUGGCGCGGAUGCGGGACGGAGAGAGCGCCUUAUUACGGGUGAGGAAUUCGGCAUCCUCUCUUUGAGAUAGUUAGGGAUAUCCGGGCGUGCUUUUGACUAUAACCGGCAAACAAGGGGGGGUAUUUUACUAACCUAGUAAAUAUAUCAUUCGUCACGACAGCGAGAUUAUAUUCGUCACGCAUUGCUAGACAGAGUGCCAGCAUCAAUGCCGUCUUCCCCGAGCCUACUGGUCUGUGCAUAUUAACAACAUAUUAGCUGGUGUAUAAGCUAUACGAACUAAGAGCUAGGGAGAUAAUGUCCUACCCUCCAAUGCCAAUAGUAAACGCUCGAUCGUUCCAAUCGCGUCCUUCAAUCACAGGCAUCUCCCGAUUCAGAUAAGAGCCAGGACCAUCGAGGAUCUCAUGUGUAUGGCCAUGUGCAUCACCAUCAUGUGUAUGGGAAUGCGGCCGUGAGUGGUCGUGGGUAGCCAUUAGUUCGAGCAGCUGUGGGAUAUGGAGAAUAAAGAAAGGUACUGGUUCUCACAGUACUGCUAGAUAUAAUACUUUGGGGUUUUACACCGAAAAACGGAGGAAUUUAUUCCAAGGCUGUUUCGGUAUCAAGUGGGGGAGCAAUUCAUGGAUGGCAAACUUUGAAGCAUAUUUGGCGGGGUUCAACCUUGUGAUAUCAUAGUUACCAGGUAACAAAACUAGGAAAAUGUUGUGUAGAAUCAAAGAAACACCAUUUCGGAAACCUUUUGCGUUCAAAAUUAUUGGAUAUACGGGGCA